rnacentral:lncRNA from 1 species
GCCCGUGGUCUGCAUGAAGUUGUUUAGUGUCAUGUUGGUGUUAGUAGUUGAUUUCGUUAGGAUUUCUAGACUCUUUUCUAGCGAGUUAAGCCUUUAAUUAUUAUCAAAACCUGAUAGGUUAUUUGAUGAUUGAGUGAAUCUAGGGUUGGGCUGAGUGAAGGUAGGUCUACUUGAGUUUGACCCUUGUGACCAAGAAAAAUUAGGGUGGUUCCUCUAUCCUGAAUUGUACGUUGAUGGGUAGGG